rnacentral:rRNA from 1 species
GACAGAGGGUGCAAACGUUGUUCGGAAUUACUGGGCGUAAAGCGCGUGUAGGCUGCUCUGCAAGUCGGAUGUGAAAGCCCUGGGCUCAACCUAGGAAGUGCAUUCGAAACUGCAGAGCUGGAGAUCUGGAGAGGAAAGCGGAAUUCUCGGUGUAGAGGUGAAAUUCGUAGAUAUCGAGAGGAACACCGGUGGCGAAGGCGGCUUUCUGGACAGCAUCUGACGCUGAGACGCGAAAGCGUGGGGAGCAAACAGG